rnacentral:rRNA from 1 species
UACAGAGGUCUCGAGCGUUGUUCGGAUUCAUUGGGCGUAAAGGGUGCGUAGGCGGCGUCGGUAAGUCGGGGUGUGAAAUCUCGGAGCUUAACUCCGAAACUGCAUUCGAUACUGCCGUGCUUGAGGACUGGAGAGGAGACGUGGAAUUCCUGGAUGAGCGGUAGAAAUGCGCAGAUACUCAGGAGGAACACCGGUGGCGAAGGCGGGUCUCGUGGGCCGAUGACUGACGCUGAGGAGCGAAAGCGUG